UGAGGAAUAUUGGUCAAUGGGCGUAAGCCUGAACCAGCCAAGUAGCGUGAGGGAAGACUGCCCUAUGGGUUGUAAACCUCUUUUGUGCGGGGAUAAAGUGAGGGACGUGUCCCUUAUUGCAGGUACCGCACGAAUAAGGACCGGCUAAUUCCGUGCCAGCAGCCGCGGUAAUACGGAAGGUCCGGGCGUUAUCCGGAUUUAUUGGGUUUAAAGGGAGCGCAGGCCGUCCUUUAAGCGUGCUGUGAAAUGCCGCGGCUCAACCGUGGCACUGCAGCGCGAACUGGAGGACUUGAGUACGCACGAGGUAGGCGGAAUUCGUGGUGUAGCGGUGAAAUGCUUAGAUAUCACGAAGAACUCCGAUUGCGAAGGCAGCUUACCGGAGCGCAACUGACGCUGAGGCUCGAAAGCGCGGGUAUCGAACAGGAUUAGAUACCCUGGUAGUCCGCGCGGUAAACGAUGGAUGCCCGCCCGUUGGGAUUUGGAUUUCAGCGGCCAAGCGAAAGCGUUAAGCAUCCCACCUGGGGAGUACGCCGGCAACGGUGAAACUCAAAGGAAUUGACGGGGGCCCGCACAAGCGGAGGAACAUGUGGUUUAAUUCGAUGAUACGCGAGGAACCUUACCCGGGCUUGAAUUGCAGGAGAACGAUCCAGAGAUGGUGAGGCCCUUCGGGGCUCCUGUGAAGGUGCUGCAUGGUUGUCGUCAGCUCGUGCCGUGAGGUGUCGGCUCAAGUGCCAUAACGAGCGCAACCCCUGUCCAUAGUUGCCAUCAGGUCGUGCUGGGCACUCUGUGGAGACUGCCGCCGUAAGGUGUGAGGAAGGUGGGGAUGACGUCAAAUCAGCACGGCCCUUACGUCCGGGGCUACACACGUGUUACAAUGGGGCAUACAGCGAGUUGGAUGUGCGCAAGUACGUCCGGAUCAAUAAAGUGCCUCUCAGUUCGGACUGGGGUCUGCAACCCGACCCCACGAAGCUGGAUUCGCUAGUAAUCGCGCAUCAGCCAUGGCGCGGUGAAUACGUUCCC
rnacentral:rRNA from 1 species